AAAGCAUUUUACGUUACCUCAAAUUUCAGCCAACAAAAGUAAGUAAAUGAUGGACGAUCCCACUAGAAUUCGACUGACAGGCGUUUGGAACAGUUUCGUCCAGAAGAUACCGAACUAUCGCUGUUUAAGUACCCUUUGAAGGUCCAAAUGCAUCACUGUCCAGCUGACCCUCCAACUUGAACUCUCAUGCAUACAGUCCUUCUCCAAGCGCAUACCCAAUAACCCUGCUGAAAUGAUAAUUAUUAUAUAUGCAAUUGAUCCUGAAAACGACCAUAUCAUUAUGCUUGA